GAUGAACGCUAGCGGCAGGCCUAAUACAUGCAAGUCGAGGGGCAGCAGUGUAGCAAUACAGCUGGCGACCGGCGCACGGGUGCGUAACACGUAUACAAUCUGCCUUUAACAGGGGGAUAGCCUUUCGAAAGAGAGAUUAAUACCCCAUAAUACAUGAAAUAGCAUUAUUUUAUGUUGAAAGCUCCGGCGGUUAAAGAUGAGUAUGCGUCUGAUUAGCUAGUUGGUGAGGUAACGGCUCACCAAGGCGACGAUCAGUAGGGGAUCUGAGAUGACUACCCCCCACACGGAUACUGAGACACGGAUCCG
rnacentral:rRNA from 1 species